AUACGGAAGGCAGCAGUGGGGAAUUUUGGACAAUGGGCGCAAGCCUGAUCCAGCAAUGCCGCGUGCAGGGCGAAGGCCUUCGGGUUGUAAACUGCUUUUGUACGGAACGAAACGGUUCUCUCUAAUACAGGGGGCUAAUGACGGUACCGUAAGAAUAAGCACCGGCUAACUACGUGCCAGCAGCCGCGGUAAUACGUAGGGUGCAAGCGUUAAUCGGAAUUACUGGGCGUAAAGCGUGCGCAGGCGGUUAUGUAAGACAGAUGUGAAAUCCCCGGGCUCAACCUGGGACCUGCAUUUGUGACUGCAUAGCUAGAGUACGGUAGAGGGGGAUGGAAUUCCGCGUGUAGCAGUGAAAUGCGUAGAUAUGCGGAGGAACACCGAUGGCGAAGGCAAUCCCCUGGACCUAUACUGACGCUCAUGCACGAAAGCGUGGGGAGCAAACAGGAUUAGAUACCCCGGUAGG
rnacentral:rRNA from 1 species